CUCUGCUCACACUGCGUUCGUCUGACUUGGUAGCUGGGGCGAGCCAGACAUGCGCCUUCAUUGGAUUUCUAAAAGAUAAACAGACAAUUAGGACAAUAUUUUAAUCAAUUCCUCGUGAUUAAGAAUAUAUAUAGACUACUGUAUAUUCCCUAUUCACACGCGUUACAUUGUUAAUCCGAGUAUGCGCACUGAACGCCUCCAUUGUCUACCAGCAGCAAGGAGUGAGAGCGAGCGCGCGGAUAUGAGAAUGCAGGGGAGCGGCAUACAUUGACCCAAAUCUCCGGGAACCGGAGAACAAGCGGACCCGGACACACGUAUGUCGUUGGAAAGACAGACUGGCAGACAGACAGCAACAGUUGUCAUGGAUAUGGUUAUGAUCAGCUGAACCCGUCUUCAAGACAAAAAUAAUAACAUUAAAGGGGGGUAGCCUAGCCUACUGCAGGGAAGCGCGACUGUCGGAACCGUUGUUGCGCUUUGUGCUUGUCAUCAUCCCUGUUGUGAUUUGGAGCAGGCUGUCCUGUCAUUCGUUGUGAGGGGAAAACGUUUUGCUUAUCUUCAUCAAAGGGAGUUGUUUUUCUGUCAUUCAUUUGACAUCAUCCUCCUAUAAAUGAUCGUUUUUCUCUGUUGAGCUGAAUCAAAACAUUCGAGUCGCUCAUGUUCCUGUCAGGGAAAUGGGCUGUUGCGUCUGUUAUACACAGCUGCUUUAGUCAGACUUGACAACCGGGAUUUUUUAAAGCUGCCGUUUUGUCCCUGGCAAGAGGCGAUCAAGUGCACUGCAGACAGGCGUGUCGGGGGCGAUUCCAGUGACGGCUCUCGACUCUCUGCGGGAGCCCCGUUUCAACAGCCCCCACCCAAUUUUAUCGGGCGAUUUGGAUGGGGGGCAAGCAGAGUACGGCAGGGCGGCCCCGGGGUGCUUUUCACGGUGUCUCGGCGGAUGACAGCGCAGUGGCACCCUCGGCCCACUUUGGGCACUACCGACCAAGUGGCACUAUGGGGUUACGCAGCCGCUCAGUGAGUUCUGUGGCUGGGAUGGGCAUAGAACAUAGUCCUACGGUGCCCUUUGGUUUUUAUACCCCCAGAGGAACAGACUCGGACAGGGCUGGAGGGGGGUCUGGCACUAACGCCGCCCAUGGUAACGGCUACCAGGAAACGGGCAGCGGGCAUCACACGGAUGGUAUGCUCUAUCUGGGCUCCCGAGGGUCGUUGGCAGACACCUUGCCCCUGCACAUUGCACCCCGGUGGUUUAGCGCCCACAGUGGGUUCAAGUGUCCUGUCUGCUCCAAGUCUGUGGCAUCUAAUGAGAUGGAGGUGCACUUCAUCAUGUGUCUAAGCAAGCCCCGCCUGUCCUACAACGAUGACGUGCUGGCCAGGGAUGCCGGGGAGUGUGUAAUCUGUCUGGAGGAGCUGCAGCAAGGAAACACCAUCGCCAGACUGCCGUGCCUCUGCAUCUACCACAAAAGCUGUAUAGACUCCUGGUUUGAGAUCAAUCGUUCCUGCCCUGAGCAUCCUUCAGACUGACUGACCUCUGUGCUCCUACUCCUACUGUUCAAGGACACUUUAUGUUCCUAUCAUGGAUAUCUGGACACUGAAGUAACCAAAAAAACUAAACAAUCAAAACAACCUAUCUAUCAAUUGAUCUAUCAAUCUAUCAAGAGAAUUCCUAGCAAACGGAACCAAGAGAAAAAACAUUUAAGCUUAUACUUUCACUUCCACAUGCAUAAAAGAGUGCCCCUCCUCCCUGCCACCUCCCCCUAGCCCUAAAGGCUGCUAACUGCCAGUCCCUAUGUUGGCCCAACUAGGCUGACCAUCCCUCCAGGCCAACUGCCUCACCAGGCUGCUUGGCCCCCAGCCAGCCAGUCACCACGCCACAUGGCCUGGUCCUCUCUGGGCUCCUCCGGGGGUCUGGCCCUUGCUCUGCUCUGCCUUCCAUUUUGCCUCCUGAGUUUGGCCCUGCCUGGCUCCAUAUCAUUCAUCUGGAUCCAGCCAUCUCAUGGCCUUCAUCAGGAAGAGACAGAGGAGGAUAAUGAAGAUAAAGAUGAAGAAUAUGGCUGGAUGAAUCCUGUGUGCCAGGGCAGGGUAGACUCCCAGGACGUUGUCUGGUUUUUGCUGCGAUGGGGAAACGCUGACCAGAAUUAGUCAUUUCCCUGUAAGGGCCUUGAGUGUGUUCGUAUGUGUGAUGCCUCUUGGUCUAAGCUACUGUCUGUGCCCCACAUGUUUUCUGAUGAAAUAGGUCAGGUCCUCUCUGGUUGUGUUGGCUGAUGUGACUUAAUGUAAUGGACGUAUUAAAGACCUAAAUGACAGUCACAUCGUGGAGCUAUUGGAGCUAUUCCGGGGUUAUAUUCACAUUUAACAAGAUUUGUUUUCGCAAAUCUGUCAGAAAACAUACAUUACUCUUCAGAAUGACUCUAGUGUAUAAAGAAUAACAGAAUGAUUAUUCUGGAAGAAAACAACGAACAUAGCUCAACAAAUGGGUGAAUAUUUUUUCACUUUCUGUAGGGUGAAAAUGUAGAGAAUAUAGUACCUGUGAGGCCACUAUAAACAAUUCAUUAGCAAGCAGACAACCACCAAGUUUCAACUGAACAAGGAACACAGGGAAGACAGACUACUAGUCAGUUAUGAUAGAGUAUACUAUACAUAUUCAUGUCUCCUGCUAACUGUAUCCCUGCCCGACUCUGCUAAAGGGCCAUAUACCUUGAUUUCAUUUAAUGUUUUGAGAUUACUUUUUUUCCAAGGAUGUGAAUGGGUGCCUGUUUUGGAGGUACCAACUAAUUGUUUGAUCAUUUUGAUGUGCAAUCUGUGGGAUGAAUACUGAUAAUGAUAUAUACACAGUACCAGUCAAAAGUUUGGACACAGCAACUCCUUCAAGGGUUUUUCUUUAUUUGUACUAUUUUCUACACUGUAGAAUAAUAGUGAAGACGUCAAAACCUUCAAAUAACACAUAUGGAAUCAUGCAGUAACCAAAAAAGUGUUAAAUAAAUCAAUAUAUGUUUUAUAUUUUAGAUUCUUCAAAAUAGCCACCCAUUGCCUUGAUGACAGCUUUGCACUCCAUCACUCUCCUUCUUGAUCAAAUAGCCCUUACAGGCUGCAGGUGUGUUGGGUCAUUGUCCAGCUGAAAAACAAAUGAUAGUCCCACUAAGCGCAAACCAGAUGGGAUGGCUUAUCGCUACAGAAUGCUGUGUAAACCAUGCUGGUUAAGUGUGCCUUGAAUUCUAAAUAUAUCACGGAUAGUGUCACCAGCAAAACCCCCCCACACCAUCACACCUCCUCCUCCAUGCUUCACAGUGGGAACCACACCUGCAGAGAUCAUCCGUUCACCUACUCUGCGUCUCACAAAGACACGGCGGUUGGAACCAAAAAUCAAACAUUUGGACUCAUCAAACCAAAGGACAGAUUUCCACUGGUCUAAUGUUCAUUGCUCAUAUUUCUUGGCCCAAGCAAGUCUCUUCUUAUUAUUUGUGUCCUUAAGUAGUGGUUUCUUUGCAGCAAUUUGACAAUGAAGGCCUGAUUCACGCAGUCUCCUCUGAACAGUUAAUGUUGAGAUGUGUCUGUUACUUGAACUCUGUGAAGCAUUUGAUGCUUGAUGGUUUUUACACUUGGAGUUCUUGAAAUGUUCCGGAUUGACUGACCUUCAUGUCUUAAAGUAAUGAUGGACUGUCGUUUAUCUUUGCUUAUUUGAGCUGUUCUUGCCAUAAUAUGAACUUGGUAUUUUACCAAAUAGGGCUAUCUUCUGUACACCACCCCUACCUUGUCACAACACAACUGAUUGGCUCAAACUCAUUAAGAAGGAAUGAAAUUCCACACCUGUUAAUUGAAAUGCAUUCCAGGUGACUACCUCAUGAAGCUCGGGCUCCAGCCCAGCUGUCUAAGGCAAUUCAUCUCAGUGCAAGAGGCGUCACUACAGUCCCUGGUUCGAUUCUAGGCUGUAUCACAUCUGGCCAUGAUUGGGAGUCCCAUAGUGCGGCGCACAAUUGGCCCAGCGUCGUCCGGGUUAGGCCGGGGUCGGCCGUCAUUGUAAAUAAGAAUUGGUUUGUAACUGACUUGCCUAGUUAAAUAAAGGUUCAAUUUUUUAAAAAACAUGAAGAAAAGCUGGUUGAGAGAAUGCCACGAGCGUGCAAUACUACCAUCAAGGAAAAGGGUGGCUACUUUGAAGAAUCUCAAAUAUAUUUAGAUUUUUUUCUAACACUUUUUUGGUUACUACAUGAUUCCAUAUGUGUUAUUUCAUAGUUUUGAUGUCUUCACUAUUAUUCUACAAUGUAGAAAAUGUGUAAAAUAAAGAAAAUGCUGGAAUAAGUAGGUGUGUCCAAACGUUUGACUGAUACUGUAUAUAAAUAUAUAUAUAUAUAUAUAAUAAUAAUAAAUAAAUGACAAAAUAAACAUGCUUUUUCAUGUAAUUUCCUUAACUAGAUUCAGGCUUAAAUGUUAAGUUUAACAAAUCUACUCAAUAAAUAAUGGUGUGCUAAUGCUUGUCAUUAAGCUACUUUGUUGACCCAUCAGCUAAUGUUAAAAGGCAAAAGCUGUGUUCUCUUCUGUCCUGAAUAGAUUGAUGGAUUCUCUUGAGGAGAAAACUGGGAUCACUCCUGUGAUUACUUACAGGUGUUAUUGCUCUGUUGCAUAAAGCCUGGGUUGUUUUUC